CUGAGCGAGAGCGCAAGUUCAAGGAGAAGGAGAGGCUGAUCGAGGAGCAGAGGAAGGAGCAGGCACGGCUGGAGGCUGAGGAGCGGAGGAAGGAGAAAGCCCGAUGGGAGCAGCAGCAGCGGGAGCACGAGGAGGCCAUGCGGGG